CCGCCUUGGCGCUCCCCUCGGCGGCCGCGGCGGCGGAGUGCGGGGAGGGAGGGGAGAGCGGGUCACGCCGCUGCGGGGCGGGGAUAACCCCUCACGUGGAGCAGAUGAAAGGGCCGCGGCGCGACGGCCGGGGGAGCCGAGCGGAGCCUGCGACCCACAAAGCCGCCGCCGCUGCCGCCGCCGCCGCCGCCGCCGCGAUGGGGCCGUGAGGGGCCCGCCGCGCUCCCCGCCGGCCCGCCCGCCCGCGACUAUGCCCGGCCGCGCCCGCCCUCCGCGCCCGGCCGCCGCAGGACCAUGAGGCCGCGCCCGGGCGGGCGCGCGGGGGCCCCGGGCCGCCGCCGCCGCCGCCCCCGCCGCCGCCCCCGCGCGCCCCGCCGCCGCCUGCCUCCGCCGCCGCCGCUGCCGCUGCUGCUCGGGCUGCUGCUGGCGGCCGCGGGCCCCGGCGCGGCGCGGGCCAAGGAGACGGCGUUCGUGGAGGUGGUGCUGUUCGAGUCGAGCCCGAGCGGCGACUACACCACCUACACCACCGGCCUCACCGGCCGCUUCUCGCGGGCCGGCGCCACGCUCAGCGCCGAGGGCGAGAUCGUGCAGAUGCACCCACUGGGCCUAUGUAAUAACAAUGAUGAAGAGGACUUGUAUGAAUAUGGCUGGGUAGGAGUGGUGAAGCUCGAGCAGCCAGAAUUGGACCCAAAGCCAUGCCUCACUGUCCUGGGCAAGGCCAAGCGAGCAGUGCAGCGGGGAGCGACCGCGGUCAUCUUUGAUGUGUCCGAGAACCCAGAAGCCAUCGACCAGCUGAACCAGGGUUCAGAAGAUCCUCUCAAGAGGCCGGUGGUGUACGUGAAGGGCGCAGACGCCAUCAAGCUGAUGAACAUCGUCAACAAGCAGAAGGUGGCCCGAGCAAGGAUUCAGCACCGCCCCCCUCGGCAACCCACUGAGUACUUUGACAUGGGCAUCUUUCUGGCUUUCUUCGUUGUGGUCUCCUUGGUCUGCCUCAUCCUCCUUGUGAAAAUCAAGCUGAAGCAGCGACGGAGUCAGAAUUCCAUGAACAGGCUGGCCGUGCAGGCUCUAGAGAAGAUGGAGACCAGGAAGUUCAGCUCCAAGAGCAAGGGACGCCGGGAGGGGAGCUGCGGGGGCCUGGACACGCUGAGCAGCAGCUCCACGUCCGACUGUGCCAUCUGCCUGGAGAAGUACAUCGACGGCGAGGAGCUGCGGGUCAUCCCCUGCACACAUCGAUUCCACAGGAAGUGUGUGGACCCCUGGCUGCUGCAGCACCACACCUGCCCUCACUGUCGGCACAACAUCAUCGAACAAAAGGGAAGCCCUGGCGCCGUGUGUGUGGAGACCGGUGGCCUGGCACGCGGCCGGCAGCAGCGGGUGAUUCUGCCCGUGCACUACCCUGGCCGGGUGCACCGGGCCAGCGCCAUCCCGGCCUACCCGACGCGGACGAGCAUGGACGCCCACGGCAACCCCGUCACGCUGCUGACCGUGGACCGGCACGGGGAGCAGAGCCUCUACCCGCCGCAGACACCGGCCUACCUCCGCGGCUACCCACCCCUCCACCUGGACCGCGGCCUGGCCCCUCACCGCUGCGGCCUGGAGCACCGCGGCUACUCCUCCGCCCACCCCUUCCGCAGGCCCAAGUUCAGCGGCCGCAGCUUCUCCAAGGCAGCUUGCUUCUCCCAGUACGAGACCAUGUACCAGCACUACUGCUUCCAGGGCCUCACUUACCCCGAGCAGGAGGGCCAGCAGGCUCCCGGCCUCUCGCCCAGGGGCCCAGCCCGGGCCUUCCCCGCCGGCGGCGGUGGCGGUGGCGGUGGCGGCGGCGGCGGUCUGCUCCUCCCUGCCGUGGUGCACAUGGCCGCCCCUUCCCACCUGGAGAGCGGCAGCGUGUCCAGCUUCAGCUGCUACCAUGGCCACCGCUCCGUGUGCAGCGGCUACCUGGCCGACUGCCCGGGCAGCGACAGCAGCAGCAGCAGCAGCAGCUCGGGCCGGUGCCGCUGCUCGUCCAGCGACUCGGUGGUGGACUGCACCGAGGUCAGCAACCAGGGCGUGUACGGCAGCUGCUCCACCUUCCGCAGCUCGCUCAGCAGCGACUACGACCCCUUCGUCUACCGCAGCCGGAGCCCCUGCUGCCCCAGCGAGGCGGGAGGCACGGGCCGGGGGCCUGCGGCGCCCCCUGAGGAGCUCCCUGUGCCGCACGGUCUGGGCGCUGGGCGGGCUGAGCCUUGGCUGGGGCUGGCCUCGCCCCUGGGGGACCAGCUGUCCACCUGCAGCCUAGAGAUGAACUACAGCAGCAGCACCGCCUCUGCCUCAGAAGUGGGGUUUGAGGCCUCUCCUGGGGCCGCCCUCGAUCUCAGGAGAACCUGGAAGGGGGGACGCGAGGGGCCACCGUGUGCCUGCUGCUGCGAACCCCCUCCGGUCACCUUGGAGUCCGAGGUCGGAGCCGCCAGGGGCAGCGCCUCAGUCCUGGGCACCCCGGUCCGUGAGGGCCGUGGCCCCCCGGGCGAGGAGACACAGCUGGACAGCUCCCAGGGCAGAGCCAGCCUGCACCCGGACCACGUGCCCAGGACAGACGGGCUGAGAUGCGAGGGCCUGCCCUGCUGCUUCUAUGAAGAGAAGCAGGUGGCCCGUGGCGGGGCCGGUGGCUACGCUGAGGACUGCUCUGUGAGCGUGCAGUACACACUCGCCCACAGGCCCCCGCCCAGCAGCCCCCCGGGGGCCCUGGAGCUGAGCCAGCGUGUCCCCAUCAUUCCUGAGGAUGUGGACUGUGACCUGGCCCUGCCCGCGGACUGUCUGGGGACCCACAGCCUCAGCCCCUGGGAUGGGACACUGGACCCAGAUGCUCUGUGGCCUCACAGGGGCCUGGGACUGGCCCAGGAGGAAGAUCAGGCCCGUUGCCACCCCGCUCAGCUCUCGCAGCCGUCUGGCCACCUUCCAGAGGAGGCGCGGGCUGCCAGGACCAGCUUCCCCAGUGCCCCCCAAGACACUCAGGAGUCUAGUGCCCCCGCCGCCGCUGAGGCUGCAGGUGAGAGAAGGAGGUGACAGGCCCAGAGCCGGUGCUCCCGUCUGGGGUCCUCUCUCCAAGAUGCGGUGUACAUGUGGCAUCCUUUGUGUCCUGACUCUGAACACUGUGCCUGGUGACUUCCGGGUGCUGUUCCCCCAGCCCAGCCCAGCCCAGCCCAGCCCUCGCCUGAGUUCUAGGCCGCCAGGGCUCUCUUCUUCCCCAUGCCUGACAGGCACCCUCAACCUUGAUGUCUACGGUAGUGCUCCAAGCCCCUCCGUCUGCACUCCUCCUGGGCCCCUCAGCCUGCCCGCGGGAACUGUGCCUGCUCGUUUCCCCGGCUAGAAAGCUGGGCUCCUAGGAAAAGAAACGCAGCAAGGCACGGCAGCUUCUGCUGCUGGACUCAGCAGACAUCGUCAGACGGCUCGAGUUUCCAAGUGUUUUGUCUCAGAGAGAAGCAGAGUGCAGUGCAGCUCCCUUUGAGAAGCACUGAACAAGAUCCAGCCCCCAAGUAGAGCCGGCAGUUGACAGCUCUGCGCCCCCACUGUCCCCACUGCCACCUUCCGGGCCCAGCCCCUCUCUCCAGGGAAGGGCAAGAGCCUUGUUCCCGACCUUCUGCCCCGCAUGGGGGUCAGAGUGGUCCUUGCUGACAUGACAGAAAUCUAGCCCAGCUGGCGGUGGCACAGCAGCCUGAGCCCAGAAGGAACUCUGGGGUGAAAGUGGGAACUGCAUGGAGACUCCAAACUCUGGCUCCCUUCAGGAAAAAAAAAAAAAAAGACAGAGAGAGAAAAAAAAAUGAUUUUUUAGCUUUGACAAACACACAAAGAUGGUAAUUUAAAAAAAAAAAAAAGCCCUCCUCAACCCAAAAUGUGAGCCCCCUGGGGCAAACCGCUACCCUGCUAUCCCCUUAACAAACCAACAGAUUCCAGGACUGAGUCUUCUGCCUCUUUUGAUAACAUGUUCCUCUUUGGUAAAGUGUGUGUGCCUGGGGUUCUGAGGUGUGCGGGAUUGAGUUCUCUGCUUUGUUUUUUUAAGAUGUUAUAUAUAAAUGUAAAAAGUUAUUUAAAUAUAUAUUUUAAAGAACCCUAACCACCAAGUUUUGCUGAAAA